AAAAGGGGAAAGAGCGGACUUAUUUUUCCUGAUGUGUAGGUGGAUAAUCCGGGAACGUUACGGAAUCAUAAUCGAAUUUGAGCGCCACAACGCCACCGCUGGAGCCCCAGCACCGGACGCUGAUCCAAAAGUUGUGCCCGAAUUUGCAACCGGAGGGAGUACAAGUUACAGCCGGUUCGAAAACCACAACAUGGAGUAACUGGCCGUGGACGGCAGCGUCGCAGCGAAGAACGUAAUAUUUUACCCAUUAUUCCUGGAACGAAAAUAGUACAGUAUUGAACUACCUUUAAUUUUCUUGGACUAUCUUCAAAGAGUUUAUACAAAUACAGCUAAAAUUCGUUUCCUUAUAAUUAUGUUUUCCUACAUUUCCUUUUGUCUCUUAUGUUUUCUUGUGCUUUUAUGUUUCUCGUCUGUCUUAUGUUUCUUAUGUUUUCUUAUGUUUUCUUAUGAUGUUUUCUUUUGUAAGAAAAUUUAUUCUAUAGGAAAAUUGAUUUGAAACUUACGCGGUUUUCGUGUGGUGUGGCUGUUUUCUGAUUUAUUAUUUCGAAGUGUCGCAAUGUUCGUAAGCCAAACGGCCGCUGAGGAUUGCGGACAUUACCAAUGCAACGGAAGUGCUAAAGCGCAAAUUUUAGAACAAACAAUUUGAGAAACCGUCCGCUGACGCUUUUUGUAUGCAACUGACAGUUUAUGACUGAAAAGUUGCGCAUGCUCAAGUUUACCAAAAUUACCGCAAUCCGUAGUGAUUACGUAUAUACAAUAAUGCAGAGUAAACAGGCUCGUUCUUGUGGCCGUUUAUUCGGCCGCUGAGGCUACAUGUAUAAGUAUAUAUAGAGACAUAAAAUAUACAACUGUAAAUAUAGGGUGUUAGAUAUCAUCCAACCCACGUUUUUUUAGCAUGUUGCAUCAUCUUGCAUGCUCCAUAUAUGGUGCUAGCUAUUUUAUGUUCUGACGUUACACGUUAGUCAUACUAAUGUUCUAAUACUAUUUGCAAGCUAGCUAUAAAGGCUGCUGCAUCUGUGUAUGAGAGACCAGUCUAGGCUCAUUAAACUUCAAAUCUUCACAUAGAAGUAGUAACAGAAAAGUAUUUGGUAGCGGUACGGGCGCUACCAAGAGACAGUUACCUUUUUGUUUGUGAGAGUACUGUAACUUCCACUAAAAUGGAAGUGCUCGUACAAAAUAUAUAUUAUGUACUGUUAAUCGUAAUCGUUUGUAUAAUUUUUCUUACCACCGAAAAGGGGGAAAGAGCGGACUUAUUUUUCCUGAUGUGUAGGUGGAUAAUCCGGGAACAUUACGGAAUAAUAAUCGCUUUUGAGCGCCACAACGCAACCGCUGGAGCCCCAGCACCGGACGCUGAUCCAAAAGUUGUGCCCGAAGUUGCAACCGGAGGGAGUACAAGUUACAGCCAGUUCGAAAACCACAACAUGGAGUAACUGGCCGUGGACGGCAGCGUCGCAGCGAAGACCGUAAUAUUUUACCCAUUAUUCCUGGAACGAAAAUAGUACAGUAUUGAACUACCUUUAAUUUUCUUGGUCUAUCUUCAAAGAGUUUACACAAGUUCAGCUAAAAUUCGUUUCCUUAUAAUUAUGUUUUCUUAAAUUUCCUUUUGUCUCUUAUGUUUUCUUGUGCUUUUAUGUUUCUCGUGUGUCUUAUGUUUCUUAUGUUUUCUUGCGUUUUCUUAUGAUGUUUUCUUUUGUAAGAAAAUUUAUUCUAUAGGAAAAUUGAUUUGAAACUUACGCGCGUUUUCGUGUGGCCUUUAUCAUGAAAUGAGUAUGGGAUUUUAUGUUGAGCUGUUUAGUAAUUUUAAAUGAGCGCUUUAAACUUAUAAUAAAAAUCUUAUGGGUUGCACAGAAUAGCACAGCAUGGGGCAACGAAAUUGGGAACACUUAUUUCAGCUUAUUACGAUUACUCUUAUUACAGUUUUUCUUCCAAAUACAUAUGUUCGCAUUGAUACCUAAAGUAUUAGCCGUAAUUACAUACUGAAUCUUAAUAAGCAUAAGCUGUUAAUUCGCUUUGAAGGACACCAGCAGCAGAAGAGCUUUACAGUUAUUUUAAUUCGACGGGCGGCCGGAUCAAAAUUAGAUGAGCAUUCUAACGAUUAAGGAAUAGCUGCAGAUAGCGAUCUUAAUGAUAUGUAAUAGUACUGCAUUAUGGAUUAGAAUGACCGGAGUAUGCAGAUGAAUAACAGUUAAAAAAAUUAAUUCAUGCACUAUGGUCAACAGGGCGUGGGGGAAACGAAAUAAUUAGAAGUAAAUUUUACUUUGUACUGUAGCCUAUAGGCAAUGCACCGCAUUAUACGUUAUCAGACUGGUAAUGUUACUGAACAAUCGUUACAAGGCCAGCUUACUUGCUCAAAAUGUUUAUCUGCGCAGCUCGCUUAUGGUAGUAGUUUUUUUUCCAUUUCUAAAAAUUUUACGGUUCACACGUUGGAUCGCUUUAUCUGAUCCUGACUUUAAUUUCUGUAAGCAAUUCAAAUCGAAGUAACACGCGCAGAUAUGACACAUACUUCUUCUUCUAUAGAUUCUAUCCAGCGUAUAAACGCUGAGUCAUACUGCGACAGAGAGACGAGAGAGCAAGUGUGGCUCGUGUUUGAGCACGCGAUAUUUAAUUUAUACCCGCUUCAGCGGAGAGUGCCGCUGCAGCAGCACACGUACUGUACGUACAAAAGAGAGAGGCAAUACAGCAUGUAUGUGAGUGUAAGUAAGUACUCCAAAGCACGUCACGCAGGCCCGUACGCCUCACACACACACCCAUAAAUAUAUUAUAUUAUCAUAAUAUCUAUAUCACUAAACUGACAGGUACUCCAGAUAUCCGAUCAGGAUUUUGCCAUGGACUUUUUAUGCUUAUCUGAUAGAACUUAUUACAGAGGGUGAGACAGCCAAGUGCUAAUUUGUCAAAAAUUUGCUCCCUUCGUCCCUGUGCUGAUUUUAUUCUUUCAUGUAAUUUACUUGGAACCCUUUUUUUUUAACUGUCAAAUUUACUGAUAUUCAUCCAGAGCAAACGUAUGUGCGAAACACAGUAAUUUUCAUACAAACUAGACCAGGCUCCGCUAGGAGCAUAUAACUUUUCGCGCAGCGGCAGCACACCCUUUCGACAUAAAAUUUCAUUAAAAAUCGCAUUUUUUCCAGAAUCUCAGUAUGCUGGGUUUACAAAAUAGCCUGACCCUUUCUACUUCAACCUAUUUCUAAAUCCCUGAAAUUCGGCCAUAAACUGUGUGGUUUCCUGGCGGUGGGAGCCGGAGGGGGGUGGGUGUGAAGGACAUACCGCCAUUUCUGGGUCGGCCUACUUUACCUCUGCCCGCCCUUUGCCUUUUCAAUAUGCCCCUUUCUACUAUACCUUUGCCUCUGCCGGCGAGAUUGCCUUCACCGUCCCGGGUGACCUAUGCAAAACACCGUUUCAAAAGCCUGCCUCGUCAAUUACUAGUAACCUUUUAAAAAUUAGCCACUCUACUGUUUAAAAGAUGCGACUAUCAGCACAGCACAGAGAUUCUUUGUGCUGUUCGAAGCAUAAAAUUUAAAAACGCAUUUUCAUUGGCAAUUGUAUUAUUCAGAUCCCCACGAAAAAAGCUACAGACACCCCACAAUUUACAACAGUCCGAACGCAAUCAAACAUAAAACAACAUCGAAACACGGUAAUGUAUAAAUCGUUUUACCGGUAGUUAGGCAGUUAGUUUCUUUAUGGUACUCGUAUGAAACUGUAGAAGUUUCUGUAGAAACCACUUCUCAUGCAGUAACUUUGAACAUGUUGCCUCAACAGUUGACAGCUUUUUUUGAAACAAAAGUCCGUUACGAAACAUUUGAGCGUGUUCCUUUUCGUCUUCCGCUGUCACAGCACUGCUUUGAACUCUGUAUUACGGUAACUUUGCGAUUGCGUUAGUUCGCAUUAUCGUUCCUUUAUUCAAACGUUUGCGCGUUCUUUACGCAGACCAUACAGCGGCAAAGACUUGCAGUUACAGUAUUAUGUGUUCGUACAUGCGUUUAAAGGUUAAUUUACUGGACGAGCUUCGAAACGGUGUUUUUCAAAGGUCACCCGGGACGGUGAAGGUAAUCUCGCCGGCGAAGGCAAAGUAGGAAAGGGCGUACUGAAAAGGCAAAGGGCGGGAAAGGCAAAGGACAGGCAAAGGUAAAGUAGGCCGACCCCCAUUUCUAAGAUUUUAUACUGCAUAUACGCAGUAGCAAGCCUUAAAUAUUCGAGCAAAAUUGGACACUAUACACUUCAGCAUGCCAAAUCACGGGACGAGCUGUAGCAGCUAUCCACAUACAGUACAACUGUUUCUAAAGCGGAAUAUGUCUUCGAGCUCUGGGAAGAUGGAAAGUCACUUCAAAACAAAACAUUCUACUUCCACUCCGGGCAAUAUCGACAGUCAAAAGUUUCACUUACUGCUUUCUCUAAUUUUAUUGCAGGUAGGACGCUUCAGAUGGUAGCGCUGCAUGUCCAUCUUCACGCUGUGCAGGCCGUUGGAACCAACUUUUCGGAUGGUCGGAAAUUUCAAAGCUAACCAAGUUUUGACUCCCUUAUGGCCAGUCCGUGAAACGAGAUCCUGCUCCUUUAGGAGUUGUACGUGUACAUCAACUGCUCCAGUGUAUCUCCUGAUGACAUUAAGCUUUCGCUACUGUAAACGCCCUUUCUGGUUUGAGUAAUCUGCGACCUCGUGCAGGCAACCUCAGCCUACGCCUGAUCAUCGGAGACAUUAAGCACACAGCACACUCAAAUUCUCAAACGGUAAAAAAAUACGUUUUUAUCAUCAGCCAGCUGAACAGCGAAGGGAUUCGUACGAAAUUUGUAAGUGUAAAUCCCUACCCGCGGAGACAAACGUACUGCGACGUUUGCCCGGAUUGGAAUACUCAAGGAAUACUGACAAAAUUCUGCGAUCUGACUUUGGCUCCAAGUCCAACAUCUUCAUACGAGAAUGGGUGUACUGAUUUGUCUUACUGUCUAUCUAUGAAAUUUCUUGGUUUUAUGUUCACGGUUUUACCUGCUGCUGAACAAAA